rnacentral:lncRNA from 1 species
GCAUCUGCCCCUGAUUUUAAUCCAAAGGAGCUGCUUUUGGAACUGGCGUGUCCGGCUUUGGUGUUUGCCUGCUGAGGAAGAGGCCUAUUCUUUUCUCCUGUCUUGGUAUGUGGAUUUCUUUCUCUCGAAGUAAUUCCUUAGCAUACCCUUGAAUGGCAUCUACCACACAUAACUUUUUCAACCCACAAGGCUGAAAGAACUUCCCUUAACUGUAAUGACCCCAGCACAGCUAUUCACUAGAAGACAUCCUCCAUGAUUUCUUAGGGGCCCAUAAGAUGACUGAAGUUGUAGAACAGCAAAGACUUGGAACAGACACUGAGGUCCUAUUGCUCCUGUCGGAAACUUCUGUUGACUGCAGCAUGAGUUGGAUGGGACCCAGAGAAACCAAAUACAGACAAGUAAUGAUGAGUUGGCCAUACAAGCAAGGAAAAUCACAGAUAACAGGUGCACACCAAUUAGCAAUGUAUCUUUUGGGUCGUCCAGUACAUCUUCCUGACACAAUGAAGUUGUUUCUUAUGGCAUAUUUUUGUGGUUUUUUUUUGCCUAGAUUAAAUUUCCUAAGUGAUGCCAUAUCUCAAGGGAGAGGUUGUGUUGCCUAG